UCUCUGGUGGUCCAGUGGUUAGGACUUGGCCCUUUCACCACCAUGGCCAGGGGUUCAAUCCCUGGUCAGGGAA
rnacentral:tRNA from 1 species